rnacentral:rRNA from 1 species
CGAAGAGUUUGAUCCUGGCUCAGGAUGAACGCUAGCGGCAGGCUUAACACAUGCAAGUCGAGGGGUAACAGGGAUUGCUUGCAAUCCGCUGACGACCGGCGAACGGGUGCGUAACGCGUAUGCAACCUACCUUUUACUGGGGGAUAGUCAAGAGAAAUUUUGAAUAAUACCCCAUACGAUCAUUUAUUUGCAUAAAUAGAUGAAGAAAACUCCGGUGGUAAAAGAUGGGCAUGCGUCCUAUUAGUUUGUUGGUGAGGUAACGGCUCACCAAGACUACGAUAGGUAGGGGUCCUGAGAGGGAGACCCCCCACACUGGUACUGAGACACGGACCAGACUCCUACGGGAGGCAGCAGUAAGGAAUAUUGGACAAUGGACGAAAGUCUGAUCCAGCCAUGCCGCGUGCAGGACGAAAGCCCUAUGGGUUGUAAACUGCUUUUAUACAGGAAGAAAAACUCCGACGUGUCGGAACUUGACGGUACUGUAAGAAUAAGGAUCGGCUAACUCCGUGCCAGCAGCCGCGGUAAUACGGA